UCUGUUUCAUGAAACCUGUGUUGAGUUGAUGCUGUUGCCUCUCCGGUGAUGACAUUGUCUGAGUAAAGCAGAGGAAUACUGGAGAGAGGUUGGGUCCUUUGGAAGAGCCUCACUGUGUAACCUUGAUUAGCCAAUUCACUACGAAGUUCUGUCUGGUCUGGAACUCACUGUGUAGACCAGGCUAGCCUUAAACUGUCUCUUCCUCCCAAGUGCAGGGAUUAGAGCUCCUGUGAUUAAGGGGGAAAAUAUCAAUGAAAUGGGGAACCAUGAGCUGAGCUGAUUCCUGCCUCCGUCUAUACUUCCUGGUCCACUGUGGCGCGAACAAGCUCUGCCACGCACUCACACUGCCUCGGCCGAAGCUGCCUUUACCUCUCCUCUAAAAUUCUCUGAAGCCAUGAGCCCAGUGAAUCCUUCCUUAGCCGGCUCCUGCCAGGUGUUUGGUCGCAGCCUCGAGCUUCUUGUCUGAGCGAUGAACUGCAUUUCUUUACACUGCAUUGGAAAGCGUGCACCUGCUUCUCUUAUUUAAAGGGAAAUGGAAUCCUGGAAGAUGAACCCGCUCGUCUCCUUGGAAACCAAAAGAAGAUGAAACUUUGGAUUUUUCUUUUUCUCCUGCUUUGAGAUAAUACAUAAAUGUGGGUAACCUCUUCUAAAUUUCAACACCCUUUCCUUACUUCUCGCGAUGGCAAAAGGCAAAGAUCUAUGCCCCAAACUCUUGUAUCUAUAAUAUGAAAAAUGCUCUAGUAUAUUUGCUUCCGCCAGAAACAUAUUACCACAUUUAUUUUCAAUUUCAAAGAGUGACUGGAGUUGGGACUUUCUGAGAGUCACUAACACAAUUUGGUUAGAAUGAGGUGCAGGUGUGUGCCUGUGUGUGUGCGUGCACGGGCCUGUGCAGAAUUCAGGCUCGGAUGCAUUUUUUCUCUCUUUGGCCCCGACGAAGGCUGUACUAACUUGUACUACACAGCUCACUCUGGGGAUCUG